GACGAACGCUGGCGGCGUGCUUAACACAUGCAAGUCGAACGGAAAGGCCCUGCUUGCAGGGUACUCGAGUGGCGAACGGGUGAGUAACACGUGGGUGAUCUGCCCUGCACUUCGGGAUAAGCCUGGGAAACUGGGUCUAAUACCGGAUAGGAGCCAUUUUUAGUGUGAUGGUUGGAAAGUUUUUUCGGUGUAGGAUGAGCUCGCGGCCUAUCAGCUUGUUGGUGGGGUAAUGGCCUACCAAGGCGGCGACGGGUAGCCGGCCUGAGAGGGUGGACGGCCACAGUGGGACGGAGAUACGGCCCAGACUCCUACGGGAGGCAGCAGUGGGGAAUAUUGCACAAUGGGCGCAAGCCUGAUGCAGCGACGCCGCGUGGGGGAUGACGGCCUUCGGGUUGUAAACUCCUUUCGCUAGGGACGAAGCGUUUUGUGACGGUACCUAGAUAAGAAGCACCGGCUAACUACGGGC
rnacentral:rRNA from 1 species